AAGAAGUGGAAAAAACUGCACAAGCUUGGACUCUGGAGGUUCUCAAAUCUUUGCAGAACACAAAGCAGUUUCUAGACAUCAUUCAAAGGCAGGCAAAAUUAAGCCGUUAAGCUAGGAUCUUUGUGCAGUGUGUACUGCAGCUGCAAGCUCAGAAGGUUGGUUGCUGAAUAACCUCUUGAAUGGUCUCUGAACCGUCUCCGACUGACAGACAGACAUCAGCAACUUAAUCCCUAGCUAAGCCUAAGCUACUCCUCUUUCCUUUUUCUUUUUCUGGCAACAGCUAAGGUACUUCUCUCUUCCUAGAUAAACAACAGGAUUUGACAUGAGGGAGUUGAAAUUCAGGGCUCUGUCAUUGUUUUUCUUCUUUCUACUCUCUGGUCUUGCUUCUGAAACCAGAAAUUGUGCUAGCUAGUAAAAUAAGUAGUAAUCCGCACUGCCUGUAUAUAUCUUCAAGAAUAUAAUGUUCCACAAUUGCAGAAAAAUUAAUAUAUAUAGUGCAUCACUUCUAACUUUGUUUUUUCCAAACCACAGAAACUAAUGGAUCUUAUUGCAGCUCCAAGCUAGUGAUGGCAGCACUUUGUUACAAAGAAAUGUUAUUUACCAGUUCAACGGGCUACACUUAAUCUGACGGAGGACUCAAAUGGAGUAGUUCUUAAUGUAUUGAGGAAAUAGCAGGGUUAAUGCAGAAAACAUAAUCCAUAUUAUUACAAAGAGUCUCGAUCUAA